rnacentral:tRNA from 1 species
GCCUGGGUGGUUCAGUCGGUUGAGCGUCCGACUUCGGCUCGGGUCAUGAUCUCGUGGUUUGUGGGUUCGAGCCCCGCAUCGGGCU